UACAGAGGUCUCAAGCGUUGUUCGGAUUCAUUGGGCGUAAAGGGUGCGUAGGCGGCGCGGUAAGUCGGGUGUGAAAUCUCGGGGCUUAACUCCGAAACUGCAUUCGAUACUGCCGUGCUUGAGGAUCGGAGGGGGGACUGGAAUACUUGGUGUAGCAGUGAAAUGCGUAGAUAUCAAGUGGAACACCAGUGGCGGAGGCGAGUCCCUGGACGAUACC
rnacentral:rRNA from 1 species